rnacentral:tRNA from 2 species
UGACCCAUAGCUCAAUGGUAAGAGCAAUAACCUUAUACGUUAAAGGUUACCGGUUCGAGUCCGGUUGGGUCAA